ACAAAGGAGUCAGACUCCAAAAGCUAUGUACUGUAUGAUUCUAUUUAUAUGACCUUCUGGAAAUAUCGGAACUACCAAGAUGGAGAAGAGAUCAGAGGUUAUUAAAGUACUAUCUUGAAGAAGAGAAGUGAGUAUGGAUAUCUCUGCCUUAUUUCCAGUCUUAAUAGGUCAACAUCUCCUGGAGAGUCAGCAUGUCUCAUUCAAACCCUCCACUUCCUCUCUAAUGAAAUGAUGCUGUUGUCUAAAGUCUUCUAUGUUGUUUACCAGCAGCUUUAAAUCAAUUCAUAUUACACAAUUGUUGAAUUUAAAAACAAAAUCCACAGGGAAAAGAAAUGGUGGUUUGUAGCCAAGAGCAUAUGUACCUGUUUUUACUAUUUCUAUUACAUUUAAUGCAGUUGACAUUUGUAAACAUACAUUCCUCAGGAACCCUCUGACAAUGUCAGUUGCCUAUUAAACUUAGGUGGGCCUUAAAUGCUCUCCAUAGUACUUUUUCCCCAGUGUCAAAAAUGUAUGCAGUAGUUAAAGCAUGAACUUUAGAAUGAAAAACAGUAGGCUUUCAAUACAGCUCCCCUCUUGCAAUCUGUGUUACCUUAUAGAGUUGUUAUAAGGAUACAAUGAGAUAACCAUGUAAAAGCUUUCAUUAGUACUGUGCUUGGUCCAUAAUAAUUGCUCAAGUACAAUUUAUAAUUACAAUAGAUCAAAAACGCAUAUGCAAAAAAUCAUAAAAUCUGCAUUUAUUAAGUAGCCCCCAUAAAUCUCAACUGAAUGUAUCACUUAUUGCUCCCCAAAUAAACUUGGUUAUAGAACCCAAA